GAUGAAGAACGCAGCAAAAUGCGAUAAGUAAUGUGAAUUGCAGAAUUCAGUGAAUCAUCGAAUCUUUGAACGCACAUUGCGCCCGCUGGUAUUCCGGCGGGCAUGCCUGUUCGAGCGUCAUUUCAACCCUCAAGCCCCCGGGUUUGGUGUUGGGGAUCGGCUCUGCCCUUCUGGGCGGUGCCGCCCCCGAAAUACAUUGGCGGUCUCGCUGCAGCCUCCAUUGCGUAGUAGCUAACACCUCGCAACUGGAACGCGGCGCGGCCAUGCCGUAAAACCCCAACUUCUGAAUGUUGACCUCGAAUCAGGUAGGAAUACCCGCUGAACUUAAGCAUAUCAAUAAGCGGAGGA
rnacentral:misc_RNA from 1 species